rnacentral:rRNA from 1 species
GAGUACGUGAAACCGUUCAGGGGUAAACCUGAGAAACCCAAAAGAUCGAAUGGGGAGAUUCAUCGUCAGCGCACUUUGUAUAUGUAUGAGUUAUGAUGCGNNGGUUACUCUUNNGUAGUAUUGCUNUGCACAUACUUGUGCAUUUAUUUGCAAGGUGUUGUCGGCGUGCACUUCUCCCCUAGUAGGACGUCGCGACCCGUUGGGUGUUGGUCUACGACCCGAGNUGGUAGCCUCUAAUGUUNNUUANNUAAUAUUAGAGACCCUUGGUGUUNUUCUGACCGGCUGCCCGGCGGUACUCGUACGGUAUUUAGCCGCAUNUUUANNNUAUGCGUCCAUAUCCGUCGCAAGCGAGGCUAG